AUAAGGAUGAAGGACCAUCUUGGCACUAACUGAAGUCUGGAAGAUCGAAGAGUAUCCUACUGACAUCCUACCCUGUGAAAAAAAGUCCACACUGACAAAGGACGGAGUGUCAAUGCUAAUUCCCUAGAAGACUUGAUUAGAUAAACGGAUUCACGGAUACUUCUGGGCACUCACUGUCCUUGGCUGAAUCUAUCACUUAGUAGGACCUUCGGGACACAGCCUGACCACAUGUUUUGAUACUAUCACUCCUGGUUCCUGAACAUAAAUACAGAGUCAAAACGGCAGCAGUGUGCUAAGGGCCUGUGGUGGUUUGAAUACGCUUGGUCCGUGCACAUGCAUGCAGUGGCCACGGAAGCCAGAAGGAGACAUUGGAUUCCCUAGAACUGGAGUUACAGGGAGGUGCAGGAACUGGAUGGUGGGAAUGGGACCUAGGUCCUCACAAGGGCAAAUCAUUAGUGGGAUCCGGGGCUUUUAUACCACUUAUAAUACAACCAGAAGCUUGGAUAACAAUGUGUACCUGCCCAUGUGACUCAAAUACCAUUUCUCUCCACAGAAAAGACCAUGAGAAGUGACUUGGUGGAGAAAGUGUUUAAUUUUCAAAGCUUCAGAAUUUUAACAUGUUAUAUGCUUUCAAGACGCACAACAGUAGAAAACAUAUCUGAAGUUGGCUGUACAAAUUGCCCUAGAUUUUUGAAGCUUUCUGCUUCCCUUUCUCAGAGGGGGUACAUAGCACUAAGGCAUGCAAGAAUACUGACACAGUAGAUCCAUCUGCUACCAGAGAAGAAGGGCAAGGGUGCACAGAAAAACACCCCAACUCUCUCCCUGCCUGGGGGACAGUUCUGAGAUGUGCCCUUAAAGGUUUUCAGAGAUAAGAUCGGAGUUACCCACAGUGUUAUCCUGCUCAUUAAUAAAUCUUACGCUGUUUUA
rnacentral:lncRNA from 1 species